rfam:Triticum aestivum genome assembly, contig: Triticum_aestivum_CS42_TGACv1_scaffold_642425_T_4AL-0.192989_6AL-0.164482
UAAAUACUCCCUCCGUUCCGAAUUACUUGUUUUGUAUUUGUCUAGAUACGGAUGUAUCUAGACUCAUUUUAGUGUUUGAUACAUCCGUAUCUAGACAAAUCUAAGACAAGUAAUUCGGAACGGAGGGAGUAUAAG